GACGAACGCUGGCGGCGUGCUUAACACAUGCAAGUCGAACGGAAAGGCCUGCUUUCCCUUGUGGAUUGCGGGUACUCGAGUGGCGAACGGGUGAGUAACACGUGAGUGAUCUGCCCCCAACUUGGGUAUAAGCCUGGGAAACUGGGUCUAAUUCCCGAUAGGACUGCAGGGUGGUGCCUGUGGUGGAAAACGAUUUUCUAGUGGUUAGGGAUGAGCUCGCGGCCUAUCAGCUUGUUGGUGGGGUAAUGGCCUACCAAGGCGGCGACGGGUAGCCGGCCUGAGAGGGUGGACGGCCACAUUGGGACUGAGAUACGGCCCAGACUCCUACGGGAGGCAGCAGUGGGGAAUAUUGCACAAUGGGCGGAAGCCUGAUGCAGCGACGCCGCGUGGGGGAUGACGGCCUUCGGGUUGUAAACUCCUUUCGACCGCGAGGAAGCCACCUGGUUGGAAGGGUGGUGACGGUAGUGGUAGAAGAAGCACCGGCUAACUACGUG
rnacentral:rRNA from 1 species